AUUGAACGCUUGCGGCAGGCCUAACACAUGCAAGUCGGGCGAGUGGCAGACGGGUGAGUAAUGCAUUGCGAUCUGCCUGAUGGAGGGGGAUAACUACUGGAAACGGUAGCUAAUACCGCAUACCUUCAGAUGUACCCAUAUGGGAAUAGCUAGUAGGUGAGGUAACGGCUCACCUAGGCGACGAUCCCUAGCUGGUCUGAGAGGAUGAUCAGCCACACUGGGACUGAGACACGGCCCAGACUCCUACGGGAGGCAGCAGUGGGGAAUAUUGCACAAUGGGCGCAAGCCUGAUGCAGCCAUGCGGCGUGUAUGAAGAAGGCCUUCGGGUUGUAAAGUACUUUCAGUCGGGAGGCGUUACCGACAGAAGAAGCACCGGCUAACUCCGUGCCAGCAGCCGCGGUAAUUC
rnacentral:rRNA from 1 species